CCUAUUCUUCUAUACGAUUGUCAAGCGAGAUGCGACAUUUGGAUCACCACCGAUUAGAUGCGCUUUUUGAUGAUAGACUCCCCCAUUUGAAAGCUUGGCACUAAAAAAAUCUAAUUGUCAUCUUGUUGGUCUCACUAACUCUUGUAGAGUAAGCCGAAGCAGGGUCUUUCCUAUCUUCUUUUGGCUCCAUUGAAAGAACAACUACAUAACGCAUAAGAAAAGACAAUAUAAACUAAGAAUAUGUGAAAGAAGAACUGAAGGUAAACAAAUUAUGUUGCUUGAUUCUGGGAAGGAACCGAAGUUAAAAAAAAUUCGCCAACAUUUCGCUACUAUUUGGAUGUUGAAACAGUGAAAGAGAAGAAGAAGAAGAAGAAGAAGAAGAAGAAGAAGAAGAAGAAGAAGAAGAAGAAGAAGAAGAAGAAGAAGAAGAAGAAGAAGUCAAAGCUCCAUUGAAAGAACAACUACAUAACGCAUAAGAAAAGACAAUAUAAACUAAGAAUAUGUGAAAGAAGAACUGAAGGUAAACAAAUUAUGUUGCUUGAUUCUGGGAAGGAACCGAAGUUAAAAAAAAUUCGCCAACAUUUCGCUACUAUUUGGAUGUUGAAACAGUGAAAGAGAAGAAGAAGAAGAAGAAGAAGAAGAAGAAGAAGAAGAAGAAGAAGAAGAAGAAGAAGAAGAAGAAGAAGAGGAGACAAUCAUCACAUACCUGUUGCUGGAAUCUCUGGUGAAGAAUCCUAGUCGUAGAGAUUCUCAGAUACUCUGUUGGUUGCAUUUAAUAAAAGAACACUGAAAAAUCCCUUUUUUAAAUUAAAUAGGCUGGAAGCUGUUUAAAACAAAGAAGCGUUCGCUUUAGUCGCUUCGUUUCGCUU
rnacentral:lncRNA from 1 species